AUUAUUUGAGGUGGUAAAUUUCGUUGCAACCACGCACCCUAUGGGUUAAAAGAGAUGCAGGAUCCGCGACGCCUGCCAAAUAAU
rnacentral:ncRNA from 23 species